AGAAAGAGCAGAUGAGAUCAAGGUGUGAGGUGCUUUUUCACACCUAAUUGAAUCAAGCACUGGCACAGAAGAUGUGAGUGAAGAAGCAGGCCACCUGUAACUGCCGUCCCCAUGUCACCAGCUGGUUGUGAGAACUAAAUGAGCAGGAGGAAGGACAACCUCUGUACCUAUGGGAGCAGCAGCCCAGACUGGACACAGUGACCAGGAACUGUCUGCAGCAGGCCUGGCCCGGGGAUGGCAAGGGCGGACAUCGCUGGCGACACGUGGGUCAACAGCCUGUCUCCUUGCAAGACAAGUGGGGAAGAGACUCUGUGAAGCCAUAGGAGCAGACACUCAACCGUGCAGACCCCCAGAUUUGCAGGUUUGUUACAGGCUUGGAGGAGGCGAAACACACACAUACAAUCUGGCCACCUAA